rnacentral:rRNA from 1 species
CACGUAGGGGGCAAGCGUUGUCCGGAUUUAUUGGGCGUAAAGAGCUCGUAGGUGGCUCGGUAAGUCGGGUGUGAAAUCUCGGGGCUUAACUCCGAAACUGCAUUCGAUACUGCCGUGCUUGAGGACUGGAGAGGAGACUGGAAUUUACGGUGUAGCGGUGAAAUGCGUAGAUAUCGUAAGGAAGACCAGUGGCGAAGGCGGGUCUCUGGACAGUUCCUGACGCUGAGGCACGAAGGCCAGGGGAGCAAACGGG